UAAAAACUUCACCAAAUCACUUCAAAUCAAGAAAUAAAUCACACAUUCCAUCACUCAAGUCACCAUUAGGCACAAAAUAAGCAUCAUUAGCUAUAAGAGGAUGUUCAAUCAUCACUUACCUAGUAAACAAGAGAAGAGAAGUUGUAGACCACCUUAGCUCUUCCAAAAACUUCACCAAACUCACCACUAACACUAAAUGGAAAGAUUGUAUGGAGUGGAAACUAGUUUGUGUGAUUGAUUUGGAUGAUUUGAGCUAGUGGAAAGCUUGAAGAUUGAAGAAGUUUUCUUCCUUCUUGGCAAGAGAGAGGGCCGGCCACAAGGUGAAAGAAAAUGGUGAUUUUUUGUGAAAUUUUUAGAUAUUUAACCAAUUUUGGUCAAAAGUCAAAAAAAGUGAAUAGUGUUCUUAAGUCAAAACCAAUCACCAAGUGACACGUGGCACUUCAUUAAUGCAUUCCUAUCCUUUCUUUUCUCUCUCACAUCAAUCAUUUCACACACUCUACUUAUCUCUUAACACCCGAUAAAUUUUACACAGUAUCCGAAACUUAACCUUUUUGGCCGAAUUUUUUCGAACUUUUCGCACUAGUGGGGCCCACGUCCAUUAUAUAUCCGUAAUUUUUCAAAAACUACCCAAUGCUAGAAAAAUCAUCUAAAAACUAUAAUAACGCAUAAAAUCCACCAAGAAAAUUUUCCUAAGCCAGAAAAUGCAGAAAACAUGCCAUUAAAGGGGAAAAACCCUAGGAAAAACAUUAAGGGAAAAUACGGGUUCUCACACUCUCUCCCCCUUAAAAGAAUGUCGUCCUCGACAUUCUAACUCCUAUAUAAAGCCGGUCAAGAUAUCGCUCAGAAACCAAUCAAGCAGUAGAAUUCCAUCUACUCCAACUCGUAUUCACCAGGUCCAAUUUGUUUUUCCCAAAGUCAGUCAAAUACUAAGAAACAUUCUAAUCUUACUUAUCACAAUUCAUGAUCUUGUAAAUCACUUAUCAAAUUCAAGUACUAAGUAUCACGCCAAUCCAACUUAUCAAAUAGUCAUGGUCCAGUGGUCCAGUGGUCCAGUAGGGAGUUAAUCGCGUAACCAGAUAAAACAGGCAAAAGGCUUGAAAUCGGACGUAAUGUCCCAGAUAUUUGGAAGACAUUCAGGGUAUAGCGAAGCUUGAAAUCAAAAUUCAUCCCUGGUGGUGCUGGACAACACAACAAGCUAGCACAACGGCUAAACUUCGCCAGAGAGCCUCCGUUCAAGUAUUUCAUCCCUGGUGGUGUUGGACAACACAACAGGCAUGCCUCGCCAGAAGAAUGGCGGUGCUGGACAACACAACAGGCAAUGCCCCACCAAAGAGGUUCAGUUCAACCGCUACAGAAAAGUAGUAGCCGGUCUACAACCACAUGAGUACGAAGAAGUUCAAGAGUAGGGUCAAAUAUUACAAGUUCAGGGAGCAUGAACACAAAGAAGAGUACAAGUUCAAGUUCAAGGAUCAUGAGUACAGGUAAGAACACACUGGCCUAACCUCUGUCCAGCAAUUCACAUUCGUAAAUAGUCAUAAAAUUCAAGUCCACCUACAGGUCACAUACCAUAUAUUCAGUGAAAUUAGGUCCAUUAAGAGUACGUAUGAACACACUCGCCUAACAGGGUCACGUCUCAAGGAAGUUCAGUCUAGUCGGUCUCAGGCAGCUCAAGAUCAAUCUCAGGUAGUUCGAGGUCAGUCCCAAGUAGUUCAAGUAGAGCAAAUUCCAACACUUACCAAUCAGGUGGUGCAAAAGUCUAUAGAUCCACACCUAUCGUGUGCGUAAUACUCCAACUAGAAACAAAAUAAAAACACAAAACAAAUACACGAAAAGCACGCAAAAGCGUAGGUACCAAAAGAUACGACUCGAAUAUAUACAUUUAUUUACAAAACCACACCAAAAGAUAUACAAAGUACCCGACCUCCAGUCGGUACAAAACCCAUUAUGCACACGAGCACUCCGGCUCCAAAAAGCUAGUCAGUCCACCAAAUAACCAAAGAAAUUAGCCAUGCCAGUCCUAGCAAAAGUAAUCUACCAGCUACUCAUAAUACAAAAGCAACCCUAAUCACCUCCCCUAGGGCCCCGGUUCCCAACGGAACCUAAAGUAUCUAUCUCGCCGCUCUGGACCAGUAGCUCGUGGUGGUGCCUCCGCGGCCAUGUCUAGUAAAACCCCACAGUCAAACGUAAUACUCCGGGCCCUCUCCCUAAGCUGCAUCCUCAUAGCGAAGAGGUGCUGGUGUGUGUGUCGAAGAUCCCGCUCCAGGUCCCUAACGCGCAACGCCUGCCAACGGCUAAACUCUCUAGCCUCCUCCAGCUGCGCCCUCAAAGUCUCAACUGUCCUGCCUAGGUGAUAACGCUCGUCAUCCAUCGCUAAAACAACCUCGUCAGGAUAGCCAUAGGUAUACCAGCACUCACAGGGUCGGCGCGACACCUGUCCAAAAGGGGAAUACAAACUAUAAGGCUCCCCAAGCCUCCUCCGAUAGCGGAUCGCCCGCUUACGCAGCACCCGGUCCUCUGGGCCCCUCGCACUCGGAGGUCUCGGUCCCGGUCCCAUGCCGCUAGAACUGCCCGGAUCCAUACCUACAAACAUUAAUUCGUUAGUUAACUGACAUUUCAACUUAAAAUAUAUCAUUCAUCUUAAAGAGAAUAAUGUAUCCCUAAGGCCUAUCACGUAUGUCCCACAAUUGCCCAAGUCCUCUAACCUAGGCGCUCUUAUUUCGUUCGUAUCCGGGCCCAAGAAUCCCAUCCAAGAUAAUUCACAACUCGAGCCGGCCGGUCCCAAGCGUAAAUCAUCCUUAUUAAAGAUUCCUACCCGACAUACAUACUUAACUUCCUCAUGUCCCAUGUUAAUGAUCCUUACACUAAUGACAUGCACAGUUCAUAGCUUACGCUCAAAAGAGCACUUAUACCUUUAAACACUUUCACCAAAAGCAGGACCAUAACAUCCCUUGGCCCAGUCUCACUCCGCGCAGAGACCACGCGACGUGGCUCUGAUACCAACUGUAACAGCCCCACUUUCCCCUAAGGCGAACCAAAGGGGUUAGCGGACUGCCUGCCCAGCUCUCGCCAGGACUACGGAUCAGUUCACGUCGAUCUAAUACGUUUCCGGAACAUACCCACGCGCGUAAACAUAUCAAAAUCACAAAAUAAAAAAAAAUGAAAAUCGAAGCCGAUGAUGAACAGUACCGGCCAUGUCCGAAUCCGGAUACUAGGCCGGAAGUAGCCAAAUUUUUCUUUUGCCGUUUGAAAUACAAGUUAAUCCGAAACCCAACCAAAUGUCAACCAAACAUAUAUACAGUGAAAUGUAACAUUUACAAGCCAAAAGCCAAAGCGGCAUAUCAAAACGAUUCAUCAUGGAUAUACAUGAUCGGUUAGCCAAUCACAAGAAAUUGAACCCAAUACACAUUAGGGUUUCAUGCAAGGAGCUAGUCAAAAUAGACAUAUACAUGGCUCAAUUUGGCAACCAACAAGUAUGAGCUUCCAAAAGUGAUUAUUUUCCUGUAAGGAAAACAAAUGGAAUGGUGUGAGCUAAAGCUCAGUGAGCAACUAUCACACAAUCAACCAAGAUCACUUAAGCAUAAUCGUUCAUUGCAAAUAUUCAAAUAAGAAGCAAAAACAAAUCGGUAAAAGGAUACGGACGGCUCUCAAGAGCCCAUUUCCACGCUUACAUUCUUGAUCCAAUCUCAUUGACUCUCCGUCAACGUUUAUGAGUACCAACCGUAGAACCCACUUCACUCCCAUUCCUUCCACCAAACAUACCCCAACCGGGCCCGCACUCCAAUCAGUAGCUUUUGGUAAUACUCGAGUAUACCGGAACCAAGAGUCUCAUUACUACAAGAUUCCCCAGUACAGUCCCCGUGGCAUGUCAAUUUUCACGACCAAGCCCUCGCCGGCUCGAUUCAUUUGACUACCUACGGGGUUGAGCUCAGUAGUACAGUAAGGCCGUUGGAUAUUCGUCCAAACGACACCAAAUCAGUUUUCCAUGAAUGGAAUUCAUUAUCUCAUGUAGCAAGUGCAGUAUUUCAGUAAAACGGUAAUCAGUCAUUAACGGUAUCACAAGGGGUGAGGGCGGUCAAGUACACCCUCACCUCAAUCAAUUCCAAUAGCCAAAUAAGCCUUCAAGGCAUCACAAUCACAUAUAGCAAAGCCACAUUGUAACAUUCAAGUGAGUAGUAUACUCACCAAUUCAGUAAGUGAGGUUUCAUGCACCGCCGUCCAAAGUACGUCGCAGUUCGCACAUUCUGAUCACCCAGAACAGCAACAGUAAAAACAACAUAUCUCACUCUACACUACUCCAAAUGACCUGAAAUUUUUUAGGCACUUCAACACUCAUCAAUACCUACAACUUUUAUGUUUUGAGCAAAGUCCAAUUCGGCCUCUAACCCAAUGAUCCAAAACCGGACAGAAUUAGGGGUUAUCAACCCUAACUUUUCUCAUUUCAAUCCAAACCCAAAAUUGAUUGCAAUUAUCAAUAAUUCACACCUACUAGAGUCAUUAUAAGCCAUUGCCAAUCAUCAAAAAUAGCCACAACAUCCCAUUCAUAUUAAACCAGAAAAUUCCUCAAUAAAAUAAAAACUUCACCAAAUCACUUCAAAUCAAGAAAUAAAUCACACAUUCCAUCACUCAAGUCACCAUUAGGCACAAAAUAAGCAUCAUUAGCUAUAAGAGGAUGUUCAAUCAUCACUUACCUAGUAAACAAGAGAAGAGGAGUUGUAGACCACCUUAGCUCUUCCAAAAACUUCACCAAACUCACCACUAACACUAAAUGGAAAGAUUGUAUGGAGUGGAAACUAGUUUGUGUGAUUGAUUUGGAUGAUUUGAGCUAGUGGAAAGCUUGAAGAUUGAAGAAGUUUUCUUCCUUCUUG
rnacentral:lncRNA from 1 species